rnacentral:rRNA from 1 species
UCUGCAACUCGACUGCACGAAGUCGGAAUUGCUAGUAAUCGCGGAUCAGCAUGCCGCGGUGAAUACGUUCCCGGGCCUUGUACACACCGCCCGUCACACCAUGGGAGUCGGUAACACCCGAAGUCGGUAGCCUAACCGUAAGGAGGGCGCCGCCGAAGGUGGGAUUGAUGACUGGGGUGAAGUCGUAACAAGGUAAC